UCCUAUGCAAGUCAAAAAUAAAAGUAUGAACUAAUUGCAUUGCACAUUUCCAUAUUAGAAAAUAAUAAAAACAAAUCUAAUACCCAAUAACCACACUACCGAUAGCUGAAAUAUUUUAUAUAUCCAUUUCAUUUUGCCAUUUACUUGAAUCGAUUUCCUAUAUAAAGUCCAACAUUUUCUCUGAAUCUUCAGACAAAUAUUCGCAGUCUUUGGUAAAACAAUAGCCGAGUUAUAAUGAAUUUCUUGAACAUUUUCGUAUUCGUUGCUGUUAUCCUGGCUGCAUUUACUGCCCAAACUGAAGGCAAGCGUAAAGGUGGCGGCGGUGGUGGUAACCGCGGACAUGCUUGGAGGGCAGGAUCCCAUGUUGCUGGAGCUGCUGUUCAAGGAGUUGCUGCUGAGGCAGUCCGUCAAGUGGGUUAAAUCUCUAUUUGUAAGAAUAAUGUGACACAAUGCUUACAUUGGAGAGCUUCAAAUAAAUGUUGAUAAAAAAAAAAUAAUGUCUAUAUUAUUUUUAUUUUGGAGACGCCUUGAAAGGACUAAUGGGAGCUUUUUAACUACAAAAUGGUAGACGUUUUAUAAUAAAAUUUGCAAAUUACAAAUAG